AUGGCAAACCGAAAAUCAAAACGCAGGGACAGCCAUGCUGAUCAGCUCGACCCCGAGACCCAUCUCGAUGUGUUCAAGCCAAGCGCCACCUUCGUGCAGGACGAGGCAGCCUACGAGGACCUCAAACGAAGCAUGCUAGGAGAUGAUGGUGAGGUCAUUGAAGAAGACGAGCCCAACGACGACGACGACGAUGACAGUGAGGAUAUGGAGGUGAUCAAGGACGAGACGGAGAUCAAUCUGAUCAACCUCCGGAGAACGAUAUACCUGACGAUCAUGUCGAGCGCCGGCGCUGAGGAGGCCGGGCACAAGCUCCUGUCCAUCGUGAGGCCGGGCCAGGAGGCGGAGCUCCGCGGCAUGCUCGUGGAGUGCUGCAAGCACGAGAGGGCGUCGUCCAACACACGGUUCUACGGCCACCUCGGGCAGCGGUUGUGCGGGAUCAGCCGAGCGUACCAGGCAGGCUUCGAGGCGUGCUUCGCGCGGUGCUACGCGGCGGCGCACCGCAUGGGCACCGACGAGCUGCGGGCGGCCGCGGGGCUCUUCGCGUGCCUGCUGGCGACCGACGCCGUCCCAUGGCGCAACAUGCUGGGCGGGGUCAGGAUCGCGGAGGAGGACACCACCUCGUCGUCGCGCAUCUUCAUGAAGGUAAUGUUCCAGGAGAUGGCGGAGCAGCUCGGGGUACGGCUGCUCGGCCGGAGGAUGAACGACGACGACGAGCCGGAGGUCCGUGACGCCCUGUUCCCCCGGGACUCUGCCGAGAACACGCGCUUCGCGGUCAAUUUUUUCACGGCGAUUGGGCUUGGCGGCGUCACUGAACCUGCGAGGAAGAUCUUAUCACUGUAA
rnacentral:rRNA from 1 species